AUCAACAAUUAACCCAUCUAACCCAUUUAAUUUAAUGGGUCAUGGGUCACCCCAAUACAUUUAAUAAAUGGGUUGGGUUUACCCCUUACCCGUAAACAGUCAACUCAUUUGGGUUAUGGGU
rnacentral:pre_miRNA from 1 species